UGGGGAAUAUUGGACAAUGGGGGGAACCCAGAUCCAGCCAUGCCGCGUGUGUGAAGAAGGCCUUAUGGUUGUAAAGCACUUUAAGCGAGGAGGAGGGUACUGGUAUUAAUACUACCAGCUACUGGACGUUACUCGCAGAAUAAGCACCGGCUAACUCUGUGCCAGCAGCCGCGGUAAUACAGAGGGUGCGAGCGUUAAUCGGAUUUACUGGGCGUAAAGCGUGCGUAGGCGGCUAAUUGAGUCGGAUGUGAAAUCCCCGAGCUUAACUUGGGAAUUGCAUUCGAUACUGGUUAGCUAGAGUGUGGGAGAGGAUGGUAGAAUUCCAGGUGUAGCGGUGAAAUGCGUAGAGAUCUGGAGGAAUACCGAUGGCGAAGGCAGCCAUCUGGCCUAACACUGACGCUGAGGUACGAAAGCAUGGGGAGCAAACAGG
rnacentral:rRNA from 1 species